GCCCCUUUAGCUAAGUGGCAUAGCGUCUGCCUCGUAAGCAGAAGGUCGCGUGUUCGAUCCACGCAGGGGGCA